rnacentral:rRNA from 1 species
UACAGAGGGUGCAAGCGUUGUUCGGAAUUAUGGGGCGUAAAGCGCGUGUAGGCGGCUUUGCAAGUCGGGUGUGAAAGCCCUCAGCUCAACUGAGGAAGUGCGCCCGAAACUGCAGAGCUUGAGUGCCGGAGAGGGUGGCGGAAUUCCCCAAGUAGAGGUGAAAUUCGUAGAUAUGGGGAGGAACACCGGUGGCGAAGGCGGCCACCUGGACGGCAACUGACGCUGAGACGCGAAAGCGUGGGGAGCAAACAGG